rnacentral:tRNA from 1 species
GGGUGCGUGGUGGAGCAGCUAACACACGAGUCUGUAAAACUCGCGGUCACUGACCUUCGCAGGUGCAAGUCCUGCCGCACCCACCA